CUCCACCCGAGACUCAGUGAAAUUGAACUCGCUGUGAAGAUGCAGUGUACCCGCGGCAAGACGGAAAGACCCCGUGAACCUUUACUAUAGCUUGACACUGAACACUGGUCCUUGAUGUGUAGGAUAGGUGGGAGGCUUUGAAGUGUGGACGCCAGUCUGCAUGGAGCCAUCCUUGAAAUACCACCCUUUAAUGGCUGGUGUUCUAACGUGGACCCGUAAUCCGGGUUGCGGACAGUGUCUGGUGGGUAGUUUGACUGGGGCGGUCUCCUCCUAAAGAGUAACGGAGGAGCACGAAGGUUAGCUAAUCCUGGUCGGACAUCAGGAGGUUAGUGCAAAGGCAUAAGCUAGCUUGACUGCGAGAGUGACGGCUCGAGCAGGUGCGAAAGCAGGUCUUAGUGAUCCGGUGGUUCUGAAUGGAAGGGCCAUCGCUCAACGGAUAAAAGGUACUCCGGGGAUAACAGGCUGAUACCGCCCAAGAGUUCAUAUCGACGGCGGUGUUUGGCACCUCGAUGUCGGCUCAUCACAUCC
rnacentral:rRNA from 1 species